UACGUAGGAUGCAAGCGUUGUCCGGAAUUAUUGGGCGUAAAGAGCGCGCAGGCGGUAUGACAAGUCAGAUGUGAAAGAGGCCGGCUUAACCGGCAAGGGUCAUUUGAAACUGUCAGACUAGAGUGCAGCAGAGGAUAGUGGAAUUCCCGGUGUAGUGGUGAAAUGCGUAGAUAUCGGGGAGGAACACCAGUGGCGAAGGCGGCUU
rnacentral:rRNA from 1 species